CAGAUUAUGACAACAAUCUUAAAAUAGGAAAAAGUACGUAACAGAAGAGAAAUUAUGACCCACUUGAAAUCAAAUGUAAAGUGUAAAUGCAUGUAAAUGCACACUUAAUGCUACUUUUUAUGUAUUAUUUAGUGAGUUUCAAUGGUAUGUGUUUAAUAUUUUUGCUACCUACACAUUAGGGAAAAGAGAUGUAAAUAAUUUUGGAAAGAAGAGGAAGGACAGUGUAAAAUGCAACUUUUUGUAGGUACCCCAUUACAGUGUGUUCAACAUCAUCCUAAAAUGCAAGAUUUUCCCACAUAGGUGACAAAGUGGCUCAUGUGCUAUCUAAGGGAAGAAGCUGUGUGCCCAUUCAAUAAGCAUGUUUUUUGCCAGGUAGUAAAUAUGUUCCAUAUCUGUAUUUAUCAUUGGAUUUCAGAUGGGAACUAGAAAACUGGAGAGAAAAAUGUAAUGAAACUGCUGCUGUAAAUUACUCCUGUUAGCAUGUAUUCAGUUGCUAAAUACACAUUUCUUCAAAAUAUUUGAAUUCAGAUGUCUUUACUAUUCCAUGUAGCAUAUAGUGUCAAGGAAUGUAAGAGUAGAAAAGGUUGAGAACCAGAGUCAAGUUGCUAGCAUAUUUAUUCAUUGUAGUCAUCUGUAAGCUGAGCUCUAUACUUCUGGUGAUAAAUGUGAAUGCUACACCUUUAAAUUAAAUAUUGUUAUUUUAUGCCAUACUUACAAAGCAAAUAUGGGGAGGAAAUUCUAUAGUGUGUCAUUAUCAUAGUCAGUUUCAUUCAGGAUCUACAAAGAUGCCUGAAAAUUGUUAUUGAAAUUGCCUAUCCUGAAGGUC
rnacentral:lncRNA from 1 species